GUAAAGACAUGGCGUCCAGCAUCUUGUACUCACAUCUCGUUUGAGCGGGUGACGGGAGGGGUAUAUGCAUCUAUUUUUCUUGAGUCUUGACUCUGAAGUAGGUCUCGUACAAUAUGUGACGGAGAGCAUUCGUGUUAUAAAAAGUUUUUUUUUACAAAGGAUACGACUUAGUUGUUGAUCAAUU
rnacentral:misc_RNA from 1 species